GAUGAACGCUGGCGGCGUGCCUAAUACAUGCAAGUCGAGCGAACAGAUAAGGAGCUUGCUCCUUUGACGUUAGCGGCGGACGGGUGAGUAACACGUGGGUAACCUACCUAUAAGACUGGGAUAACUUCGGGAAACCGGAGCUAAUACCGGAUAACAUUUGGAACCGCAUGGUUCUAAAGUGAAAGAUGGUUUUGCUAUCACUUAUAGAUGGACUCGCGCCGUAUUAGCUAGUUGGUAAGGUAACGGCUUACCAAGGCGACGAUACGUAGCCGACCUGAGAGGGUGAUCGGCCACACUGGAACUGAGACACGGUCCAGACUCCUACGGGAGGCAGCAGUAGGGAAUCUUCCGCAAUGGGCGAAAGCCUGACGGAGCAACGCCGCGUGAGUGAUGAAGGGUUUCGGCUCGUAAAACUCUGUUAUUAGGGAAGAACAAAUGUGUAAGUAACUGUGCACGUCUUGACGGUACCUAAUCAGAAAGCCACGGCUAACUACGUG
rnacentral:rRNA from 1 species